ensembl:snoRNA SNORD21 Small nucleolar RNA SNORD21
GCUUGAUGAUGAUUCCUUUCAAACUGAGCAAACUGUAGUUGGUCCUUCAUUUGCACAGUUGAUGUAGUUUCAAGACGGGACUGAAAGCAGC